rnacentral:rRNA from 1 species
UACGUAGGGUGCAAGCGUUGUCCGGAAUCACUGGGCGUAAAGCGCACGUAGGCGGAUCUUUAAGUCAGGGGUGAAAUCCUGGAGCUCAACUCCAGAACUGCCUCUGAUACUGGGGAUCUUGAGUCCGGAAGAGGUAAGUGGAACUGCGAGUGUAGAGGUGAAAAUUCGUAGAUAUUCGCAAGAACACCAGUGGCGAAGGCGGCUCACUGGCCCGAUACUGACGCUGAGGCACGAAAGCGUGGGGAGCAAACAGG